rnacentral:rRNA from 1 species
GACGAACGCUGGCGGCGUGCUUAACACAUGCAAGUCGAACGGAAAGGCCCCCUUGUGGGGUACUCGAGUGGCGAACGGGUGAGUAACACGUGAGUAACCUACCCUUGACUUUGGGAUAACUUCAGGAAACUGGGGCUAAUACCGGAUAGGAGCUCCUGCUGCAUGGUGGGGGUUGGAAAGUUUGGGCGGUUGGGGAUUGACUCGCGGCUUAUCAGCUUGUUGGUGGGGUAGUGGCUCACGAAGGCUUUGACGGGUAGCCGGCCUGAGAGGGUGACCGGCGACAUGGGGACUGAGAGACGGCGCAGACGCCUACGGGAGGCAGCAGUGGGGAAUAUGGCACAAUGGGCGGAAGCCUGAUGCAGCAACGCCGCGUGCGGGAUGACGGCCUUCGGGGGGAAAACAGCUUUCGCCGGUGACGAAGAGUGAGUGACGGUAAUGGGUAAAGAAGCACCGGCUAACUACGUG